rnacentral:lncRNA from 1 species
UCGUCAUCUUGCGUAGGGUGGGGUCAUAUUAGGGUGACGCUUCCUUGCACUAUAUUAUGGUUUUUAUGGAAGGGCCGGAAUAGAGCACGGUUUGAAGGGGAGAUGUUUAACGCUCGUGGGGUUAUCCGCAUGGUAGAAAAUUUUAUGGUACGAUUAGGGCAGGCAAAUAUUCUUCAACCGGAGCACUUCAGAGGGGAUCCGCAGGACCCAUGGAGGGUUUUGGUCACCCCGUGCCUGACGAAACUUGGAAGCUUGGCCGUUUCAUGGAAGCGGCCUCCAUUUCAAUGUAUAAAGUUGAACACGGACGUGAGUGUUUUCCAGGGAAGUGGAGCAGGGGGUGGCUUGCUCUAGGACCACGACGGCAAGGUCAUCUUUGCUUUCUAUAAGGAGUUCGGGGAGACAGAUGUCCUAACAGCAGAAAGUCUGGCGCUGCGCCAUUGCCUCCGAUUGUGCUCCAUGGCGUUCAAGGGGAGACUAAUGGUGGAAGCGGACUCGCUCACGCUGGUUGCUCUAGUUAACUCAAGGAAUUCUUCUAAGUGGCCUCUUUGCAACUUUGUCUGACAGAUCAGACAGUUGGUUGAGUCCUUGUCUGCUUCUGUUUUUCACAUCUUUAGGGAGGUGAACUGCGCAGCCGAUGCAUUAGCAGGAUCCAAUUUGGGAAGGGAGUGGGUCGCUACGUCCUUUGCUAUCCUCCCAGGGAACAUAAGGGCAACAGUUCUACUGGAUAGUAGGGAAUUCUCAAAUGUUCGGGUUCAGCGUGUACGGGAGUAGUACCCAUACGCGUUGCCUCUGUUUUUUCCUCCUAUCUUCUCAUGUAAUUUGUUCUACUUUUUUGGAAUCUAGUGUCAAAUAUAGUCAUAAAAUGAGGGAAUCCAUUAAAUUCUUUCAAAAUAAUUUUCAAUCAUAAAGACAAAUCUUUCAAUGUUUUCCUGAUUGGAUAAGGGCAACAUAUAUUUAUUUUAAUAUGUAUUUUCAUCUUUUAUGAAAAAUUGUUGUCUCUAUUUGUAUUUCCACAUCUAUGAGACAUA